UACGAAGGGGGCUAGCGUUGUUCGGAUUUACUGGGCGUAAAGGGUGCGUAGGCGGGUUUUUAAGUCAGGGGUGAAAUCCCGAGGCUCAACCUCGGAACUGCCUUUGAUACUGGAAAUCUUGAGUCUGGGAGAGGUGAGUGGAACUGCGAGUGUAGAGGUGAAAUUCGUAGAUAUUCGCAAGAACACCGGUGGCGAAGGCGGCUCACUGGCCCGGAACUGACGCUGAGACGCGAAAGCGUGGGGAGCAAACAGG
rnacentral:rRNA from 1 species